GGUGUGGCAAGUGAAACUUGUUUGAAAGCUUUGGAUAAUUGUGUUAUAUUCCAACGGGCAGUUAAAUAAAACUAACUACAAUUAAGUGAUCCACUCCCUGUAUAGUUUUUGGAAGUGAAGCAUACCAAAUGGUUGGUUUUUUAUGUAACGGGUAAUCUUGUAAGCUGUGCAAGCUGCCAAUUCCAAACAGUCAUAGAUUGCCCUGUUAAAUGACCUUAGCAUUCCAUCAUGCCAUUGUGUUGCUCAUUGAGAGAUCUUGCUCGUGGAACUUGCAACACAAAAGAUAAUAACCAAAAGGAAGGUUACUAAUGAUGUGCAUUCGUGGAAUCAAAAUGCCCCUGUCUCCUUCUGCCAUACAUUGCCCAGAUAUCAGUAUCAGUUUUGAUCUGAUAGAUGCAUUGUGUUCCACUUUGUUUUGUUAAAGACGGUUAACCACCACCUGCCAACACACAUUGACAUGGAUGUCAACACAAUCUCUUUUGGACUGCCAAGCCUUGGCCUUCUUCAGCAACAUUGGUUGCUCUACAAUUCUUGCAGUCUUCGCCAACAGUUAACCAUUUCGUCUUCUCCUUCAGUCCCACGCAAAAUUGGAAAUUAAAAUUCUAAGUUUUGCCUGUUUUCGCUUCAUGGUCCGUCUGCACCUCGCUCGUCGCAUCGUUUUCACCUUGGCCGUCGCACAAUCUUCGC